GGGGGCGAUCGGCAUCGACCGGAUGCCGUCACGACGUGGGUGGCGUGCCGAGGGGCCGGGAGGCCUCGACAAAACCCGGCACAAACUGAAGUGCCAACCAGCACUACGCUCUGGCUGCCUGAUUGAGUAGCCACGUCGACGGUCCUUCGCCUGCGGGGGCCGUUGGCGAUACCUAGCAGGCUGGUCGAAGUCGGCUGCUCGUCCCGACCUCGAUGAGAUCCAGAUCGAGCUGGCGCGCGCGGAUCCCGGUCGUCGGAGACGCGUCGCGCGAGACCAAGUAGGCGACCUACGCACGUAGAGGCCCACGUCGGGGCAUCACGGGACGCGGGUUCGAUUCCCGCCGCCUCCACUC
rnacentral:tmRNA from 1 species